GCCUAACACAUGCAAGUCGAACGAAGUCUUCGGACUUAGUGGCGGACGGGUGAGUAACACGUGGGAACGUGCCUUUAGGUUCGGAAUAACUCAGGGAAACUUGUGCUAAUACCGAAUGUGCCCUUCGGGGGAAAGAUUUAUCGCCUUUAGAGCGGCCCGCGUCUGAUUAGCUAGUUGGUGAGGUAAAGGCUCACCAAGGCGACGAUCAGUAGCUGGUCUGAGAGGAUGAUCAGCCACAUUGGGACUGAGACACGGCCCAAACUCCUACGGGAGGCAGCAGUGGGGAAUCUUGCGCAAUGGGCGAAAGCCUGACGCAGCCAUGCCGCGUGAAUGAUGAAGGUCUUAGGAUUGUAAAAUUCUUUCACCGGGGACGAUAAUGACGGUACCCGGAGAAGAAGCCCCGGCUAACUUCGUGCCAGCAGCCGCGGUAAUACGAAGGGGGCUAGCGUUGCUCGGAAUUACUGGGCGUAAAGGGAGCGUAGGCGGACAUUUAAGUCAGGGGUGAAAUCCCGGGGCUCAACCUCGGAAUUGCCUUUGAUACUGGGUGUCUUGAGUGUGAGAGAGGUAUGUGGAACUCCGAGUGUAGAGGUGAAAUUCGUAGAUAUUCGGAAGAACACCAGUGGCGAAGGCGACAUACUGGCUCAUUACUGACGCUGAGGCUCGAAAGCGUGGGGAGCAAACAGGAUUAGAUACCCUGGUAGUCCACGCCGUAAACGAUGAUUGCUAGUUGUCGGGAUGCAUGCAUUUCGGUGACGCAGCUAACGCAUUAAGCAAUCCG
rnacentral:rRNA from 1 species